UGUCUGAGCACAGAGGCUGACUUCCGAGUGACUUUUCUGAAGCGCUUUCCCAUUUACCUCCUGCGUUAAGCCUGGAUUCUCCACCUGCUUUGGGCACAUUCUGCCCAAGGCUACUGUGCAUCUUCCAAGGAGAGUGACUUGCUCUUUCAAACCGAAUUAUGUCAGAAUUGCCAACCAUCAGGUAAAGAGAGCUGAAGGCAGUCCGACCAGAGUCUUAAGUCAUUUCCACUGAAGUUGUUGAAGCACGUCAUGAGAUCAAGGCUCAGGGGCAUAUCAACCUCCACAAAUCUGAAUGGUAUUUCUGCGGAUGCAGGUUUCCUGAUGGAUUGCUCGUCAUGAAAAAGAUUGGAAAAAGGAUGCAUGCCUUCAGUGUAUAUUAGGACCUCUGUGAAUAAGGAGCUACGAAUUUUGUUUUCUUAAAUGAAGAAAAACACAAAGCCAACUGGGAACUGCUGAAGAGCAACGAGAUCUGAAGCGCUGCCAAAUCCAGCCUAGAAGAUAUUACCCUCUUUCUUUAUACUAUUGUUGUAACUCACUCUGUUUAAACUGUAUAAUCAGAACUCCUGUGGCACUUUUCAACUUUCUGGCUUUUCAGGCAUUUCAGGACACCUUCGAGUCAGUGGAAUUCUGCUUUGAAUGGUUGCUUCAG